ensembl:lncRNA
CUCGCUGCAGGAGAACAUCCGUCCGUGAGCGGGUGCUGGUUGGACGGCGGCCACGUGGACUCGAGCGUUGCACUGGGGCCGCAUCUCUAGGGCAGGACGGGGAAGGAGAGCGAGGUGCCGGGGGCUAUCUCCGCACCUUGUCCGGGCCGUGACGCCCCCAGCCCCGGCUCCUUCACUGUGACACUGUGUCCCCGUCCGUGGGACAGGCGACUUCGCGCCUCGUGUUUGCCAGGCCCUGCCGGGACCUCACGGUUUCCCGGGUCUUCUCACGCGCUCCGUUGACAGGGCCCCCGAAGGCGGCGGCCUGGGCCUUUCUAGCGUUUGACAUUUCAUAGCGAGAUUCGGAGUGUGACACGCAGCCCGAGGUGACUCCGCCCUGGUCUCCCGCCUCUCAGGGCCCCAUUCAGCCCACUGGGUCCCUUGGCGGUGGCAGGUGCAGCAGCACUGAUGAAUCCAGCGCAGGGCUGUGUGACCUUCGAGGAUGUGUUCGUGUACUUCUCCCGGGAGGAGUGGGAGCUCCUUGAGGAAGCUCAGAGACUCUUGUACCGUGAUGUGAUGCUGGAGAACUUUGCACUUGUGUCAUCACUGGGACUUGCGGUUUCCAGGUCUCAUGGAGCCACCCAGCUGGAGCCAGAGGGGAGCCCAGGGUGCCUGAGAAGGUAGACGUGGCUCCAGUCACAGCAGAGAAGACCUGGAGGAGGCCUAGCCCUGGUGAGCGGAAGGUUGUUAGCAUGGAGUGGAGGAUGUGGCUGCACCUUCUGAGCAGGGAGUUUCUGUGAGAGUGUCACACAUGAGAACUCCCAAGGCAGAUCCUUCCACCCGAAAGGCUCACCCCUGUGACAUGUGUGGCCCAGUCUUGAAAGACAUUUUUGCACCUGGCUGAGCCACAGGGAACACCAUCUGGGCAGCACUCAUACUCCCAACAUGUGAAUCAUGGAGGAGAGACUUUUGGUAUAGUUUAAACCUUGACUGGAUGCAGAAGCAGUGGAGUGGAGUCUUCAGAAGGGAAAAUCCAGGCCUCGUUUGUGAAGUGCUGCAGAUCCAGUGUAUCAGAGAAGGCCUUCACUUGCAGGGAGGGUUGGAAGAACUUCUUGGCCAGCACCUGGCCCCUCACAAUGGGGAGAAGCCACACCGGAGUGUUGGGAGCUUAUUCUCUGCUGUCCUCACUAAUAGGCCCUUUUGGGUAUUGGAUUCCCAUUAGGCCAGAAGGCACAACCUCAGGCCAUAAAGCUUCUUAGCUGCCCUCAUGGAGGGAAUGUUGCUCCAGGGUCAUUUGAUUCUUUAACUCUCUGUUGGGGGCAAACCAGGAAACAGUGAGGGCCAUUAGAACUGCAGGAAGAACCCAGGGACAGUUUCCCACAAGGAGAGUUUUCUCCGGAGGAUGAGCUCUGAACACAAUGGUGUGAGGACAGAUGAUAAUCUCCACUCAGGAGUUUUACUAGAGCAAUCCUCCAGGAGAUGCUUUUCAUGAACAGAACUCAACAUGGACCAGGUAAAGCUUCCAUGAUCUACGCAGGGAAGAAUCUCUGCAAGUGGAAGAAAUGUGGGAAAGGGUUUAACAAACGUUGACGUGCCUUUCUCAAGAGGGCAGACCUCGGUCAACUCAUGAGGAUUUAUGCUUAGCAGAACCAUGUGACUGCUUCCACUGUGGGAAGGCCUUCAACUGCAGGUCAGAGCUCAUGCAGCUACAACAGAUUCACACUGAGGAGAAGCCUUAUGAAUGCAAAGAAUGUGGGAAAGUCUCUUGUGUCAGGUCUGUUUUUGUCCCAAAUAAUAUUUCCCACUCCAGGAAAAGUCACUUUGAAUGCAAAGUAUGCGGGUAAACCUUUUUUGACAGCUGUUUUUUUCACUCAUCAUGUGAGGGUUCUCACAGGAGAGGAUCCCUGAGUGCAAUGAAUGUGGAAAGGCCUUCAUUCACCCUUUUCUAUCUGGCCUAAUAGGAUCCACAAUGGACAGAAACCCUUUGAGUGUAAGAAUAUCAGAGAGCCUUUCUCAACAGCUCUUCCCUGACUCAACACAUGAAGCAUCACACUGAGGAGAAACCCCAUGAAUACAGUGAAUGUGGACAGUCCUUCAGCCUUCGUUCAUCCUUCACCAAGCCUCGAAGUAUUCAUUCUGGGGAGAAACCACAUGAGCGUAAGAGAUGGGGGAAAGCCUUUCACAAGUGGACUUAUUGUGAUACCAGAGAACUCAUACUGGGGAAAGACCUUUCGAAUGUAACUCCUAAGGAAAAUCAUCUGACCAGAGGAAACGUCUUACUCUGAGAAAUUAUACCAAAGAGAAACCAUGUAAGUGUCAUUGCUGUGAGAAAAUCUUCUAAGGCCAAUCAUCACUUAUUGUCAUCUAAAGAGUCAUACUGGAAAUGGACCCAUCCUAGGACUUUGCACCUGAGAAUUUAUAAAGGAGAGAGAACCAGUGACUAUUGUGCAAUUUCAAAAAUCUUCAGCUAUAGCUCUACCCUUAGUAUACACUGAAAAAGCAAUCACAGGAAUAUUUAAAAGACAAAAACAAGGGAGGAAGAAGAAAAGAAGUAGAUGUAACAGGAAAAGAAAUAUAUUUAUGACUUCUUUCCAGUUUUCCUGACAAACUUGUGACAAUUUAUUGGUUGUUUUUUAUUGUUAUUGGGUGGCAGGGGAGGAGCAGUGUUUGAGAGGUAAACACCUGAAUUACUACAUAUGCACUGUCUGCCAUGCCAUGCCAGGAGAGCGGGAGAGCUGGACACUUGAGAACAGCCCUGCAAAUAUUUAUUUAUUACAAAAUAUUGUCUUAUGUGAAGCCUUGAAUUAUGAAGCAUUUAAAACUUAAAAGAAAUUAGGAUACUAAGAAUGUUGUUUAAAAUUAGAUCUAAGGAGAUAAGGACACACUUAUGAAUGGGUACAUUUUAGUGUACCGCUUAAAACCAUUUAAGGCUUCAUUUUCAUUUUUUAAUUUAUUCAUUAAUUAUUGAGAUAUAAUUGACAUAACGGUGUGUAAGUUUAAGAAUGUACAACAUAUUUAAUUCGAUACAUUUAUAUUGCAGUAUGAGUGCCAUUGUAGCCUUAGCCUCUGUUGUGCCACAGAAGUAUCAUUUCUUCUAGUGGUGGGAACAAAUAAGAUCUUGUCUCUUGGCAAGUUUAAUGUUUAUAAUGCUGUUUUGUUGUCUGUAAUCCCUGUACUUUAUAUUACAUCUCCAAGAAUUAUUAGUUGUAAGUAGGUACCCUUAAACAUCAUCACCUCUCCCAUCCCCUCACCCACCUCCAGCCUUUGGUAAAUGUCAUUCUACUGUUUUCCAGCUCAGUUUUUGGUUUUGUUUUGUUUUUUUAGAUUCCACAUAUAAGGGAUAUUGUAUGGUAUUUGUCUUUCUCUGUCUGACAUAUCUCACUUAGCAUAACAUCCUCAAGGUCCAUCUGUGUUGUCGAAAAUGGCAGAAUUUCCUUUUUUCUCAAGGCUGAGUAGUAGUAUUCCAUUGUAGGUAUAUAUACAUUUUUAUCCAUUCAUCCACUGAUGGACACUUAGGUUGUUUCCAUAUCCUGGCGAUUGUGAACUACAAUAAACAUGGAAGUGCAUAUAUCUCUUU